CUACGGGCGGCAGCAGUGAGGAAUAUUGCACAAUGGGGGGAACCCUGAUGCAGCAACGCCGCGUGGAGGAUGACGCAUUUCGGUGUGUAAACUCCUUUUAUAUGUCAAGAAAAUGACGGUAGCAUAUGAAUAAGCACCGGCUAACUCCGUGCCAGCAGCCGCGGUAAUACGGAGGGUGCAAGCGUUACCCGGAAUCACUGGGCGUAAAGGACGCGUAGGCGGGUUGGAAAGUCAGGUGUGAAAUCCUACAGCUUAACUGUAGAACUGCACUUGAAACUUCUAAUCUAGAGUAUGGGAGGGGGAGAUGGAAUUAGUGGAGUAGGGGUAAAAUCCGUAGAUAUCACUAGGAAUACCUAAAGCGAAGGCGAUCUCCUGGAACAUUACUGACGCUAAGGCGUGAAAGCGUGGGGAGCAAACAGGAUUAGAUACCCCCGUAGUC
rnacentral:rRNA from 1 species